rnacentral:sRNA from 1 species
GCGGAGGAAAAGAAAGCAACAGCGAUAGCCUCAGUAACGGCGAGUGAAGCGGCUACAGCUCAAAUUUGAAAUCUGGCCUCCUUUGGUGGUCCGAGUUGUAAUUUGCAGAGGAUGCUUUGGCAUUGGCGGCGGUCUAAGUUCCUUGGAACAGGACAUCGCAGAGGGUGAGAAUCCCGUACGUGGGCGCCUGCCUUUGCCGUGUAAAGCUCCUUCGACGAGUCGAGUUGUUUGGGAAUGCAGCUCUAAAUGGGAGGUAAAUUUCUCCUAAAGCUAAAUACCGGCCAGAGACCGAUAGCGCACAAGUAGAGUGAUCGAAAGAUGAAAAGUACUUUGGAAAGAGAGUCAAAUAGCACGUGAAAUUGUUGAAAGGGAAGCGCUUGCAGCCAGACUUGCCCGCAGUUGCUCACCUAGGCUUUUGCCUGGGGCACUCUUCUGCGGGCAGGCCAGCAUCAGUUUGGGCGGUCGGAUAAAGGUCUCUGUCAUGUACCACCCUUCGGGGUGGCCU